rnacentral:rRNA from 1 species
GUGAGGAAUUUUCCGCAAUGGGCGAAAGCCUGACGGAGCAAUGCCGCGUGAAGGAUGAAGGCCUAUGGGUUGUAAACUUCUUUUCUUAGAGAAGAAUAUUGACGGUAUCUGAGGAAUAAGCAUCGGCUAACUCUGUGCCAGCAGCCGCGGUAAUACAGAGGUCUCAAGCGUUGUUCGGAAUUAUUGGGCGUAAAGGGCGCGUAGGCGGGAAGGUGUGUCGACCUGUAAAUCUAUCGUUUCAAGCGGUAGGCUUGGGUUGAAACUGCCUUUCUAGAGGAUUUCAGGGGAGUUUGGAAUUUACGGUGUAGCAGUGAAAUGCGUGGAUAUCGUAAGGAAGGCUUGUGGCGAAGGCGAAACUCUGGGGAAUACCUGACGCUGAGGCGCGAAGGCUAGGUUAGCAAACGGGAUUAGAUACCCCUGUAGUCC